CAAGCGUGCACGAAAUGCUGCUGGGAUUAUUAGGCAGAACGAUCAUAUUUCCCAGGUCCAUCCUAUUGAAAACAAUCUGCAGAAGUUUCUGUGACGACAGUCCAAUUUGCGUUCUGUUUAUUAUCAGCGGCUCAUCCGAUUUCUCUCUCCCACUCUGUCUUUUGUUGGUGAUGCGAGAAACAGCUUGACGAGAAGGUGCUGGAGCUAGAGCGGGAGGUAGAGCGUGAGCUAGAGCGGAAGAAAGAGCAGAAGCCACAACAGCUGUGCUUCAAAAAGUGGGAUGCGGCAUGCUAUCCCCCUGGGCAUUCAUGGCGGUCCCAAAACAAUCUGCCAGUGCGGCAAUACUUCAACAAGCCAGAUGGACCAUGUGGCCCUGGUUAUGCAUCGUUGGCCCCUGUACUUGGUCGUCACAACUACCAGCCACCACCAUCAGAAUAGCAGUUGACUUACUGCAGUGAGAUUGGACCUCAUGAGGUAAAAACAUUGGUGAAGCAUAUGAUAUUCUGUUAUCUCCUCUAUUGACCUGUAGCUCGGUAGCCCUGGA